GGGUGACAGCCCCGUACACAAAAGCGCAUGUGCUGUGAGCUCGAUGAGUAGGGCGGGACACGUGGUAUCCUGUCUGAAUAUGGGGGGACCAUCCUCCAAGGCUAAAUACUCCUGACUGACCGAUAGUGAACCAGUACCGUGAGGGAAAGGCGAAAAGAACCCCGGCGAGGGGAGUGAAAAAGAACCUGAAACCGUGUACGUACAAGCAGUGGGAGCCCCACCACUAAGCCAGUGGUGAACUCCACAUCCGCAUCCUUUGCUGAGGAUACGGUUAACGGAGCGAAAGCGACGUUCAACCGCAAAACAAGCAGAGGGGGCUUAGUGGUGGGGUGACUGCGUACCUUUUGUAUAAUGGGUCAGCGACUUAUAUUCUGUAGCAAGGUUAACCGAAUAGGGGAGCCGGAGGGAAACCGAGUCUUAAUUGGGCGUUAAGUUGCAGGGUAUAGACCCGAAACCCGGUGAUCUAGCCAUGGGCAGGUUGAAGGUUGGGUAACACUAACUGGAGGACCGAACCGACUAAUGUUGAAAAAUUAGCGGAUGACCUGUGGCUGGGGGUGAAAGGCCAAUCAAACCGGGAGAUAGCUGGUUCUCCCCGAAAGCUAUUUAGGUAGCGCCUCGUGAAUUCAUCUCCGGGGGUAGAGCACUGUUUCGGCUAGGGGGCCAUCCCGGCUUACCAACCCGAUGCAAACUGCGAAUACCGGAGAAUGUUAUCACGGGAGACACACGGCGGGUGCUAACGUCCGUCGUGAAGAGGGAAACAACCCAGACCGCCAGCUAAGGUCCCAAAGUCAUGGUUAAGUGGGAAACGAUGUGGGAAGGCCCAGACAGCCAGGAUGUUGGCUUAGAAGCAGCCAUCAUUUAAAGAAAGCGUAAUAGCUCACUGGUCGAGUCGGCCUGCGCGGAAGAUGUAACGGGGCUAAACCAU
rnacentral:rRNA from 1 species